UUUGUGGAGGGUUCGAUUCUGGCUCAGGAUGAACGCUGGCGGCGUGCUUAACACAUGCAAGUCGAACGGGAUCCAUCAGGCUUUGCUUGGUGGUGAGAGUGGCGAACGGGUGAGUAAUGCGUGACCGACCUGCCCCAUACACCGGAAUAGCUCCUGGAAACGGGUGGUAAUGCCGGAUGCUCCGACUCCUCGCAUGGGGUGUCGGGAAAGAUUUCAUCGGUAUGGGAUGGGGUCGCGUCCUAUCAGGUAGUCGGCGGGGUAACGGCCCACCGAGCCUACGACGGGUAGCCGGCCUGAGAGGGCGACCGGCCACAUUGGGACUGAGAUACGGCCCAGACUCCUACGGGAGGCAGCAGUGGGGAAUAUUGCACAAUGGGCGCAAGCCUGAUGCAGCGACGCCGCGUGCGGGAUGACGGCCUUCGGGUUGUAAACCGCUUUUGAUCGGGAGCAAGCCUUCGGGUGAGUGUACCUUUCGAAUAAGCACCGGCUAACUACGUGCCAGCAGCCGCGGUAAUACGUAGGGUGCAAGCGUUAUCCGGAAUUAUUGGGCGUAAAGGGCUCGUAGGCGGUUCGUCGCGUCCGGUGUGAAAGUCCAUCGCUUAACGGUGGAUCUGCGCCGGGUACGGGCGGGCUGGAGUGCGGUAGGGGAGACUGGAAUUCCCGGUGUAACGGUGGAAUGUGUAGAUAUCGGGAAGAACACCAAUGGCGAAGGCAGGUCUCUGGGCCGUUACUGACGCUGAGGAGCGAAAGCGUGGGGAGCGAACAGGAUUAGAUACCCUGGUAGUCCACGCCGUAAACGGUGGAUGCUGGAUGUGGGGCCCGUUCCACGGGUUCCGUGUCGGAGCUAACGCGUUAAGCAUCCCGCCUGGGGAGUACGGCCGCAAGGCUAAAACUCAAAGAAAUUGACGGGGGGCCGCACAAGCGGCGGAGCAUGCGGAUUAAUUCGAUGCAACGCGAAGAACCUUACCUGGGCUUGACAUGUUCCCGACAGCCGUAGAGAUAUGGCCUCCCUUCGGGGCGGGUUCACAGGUGGUGCAUGGUCGUCGUCAGCUCGUGUCGUGAGAUGUUGGGUUAAGUCCCGCAACGAGCGCAACCCUCGCCCUGUGUUGCCAGCACGUCAUGGUGGGAACUCACGGGGGACCGCCGGGGUCAACUCGGAGGAAGGUGGGGAUGACGUCAGAUCAUCAUGCCCCUUACGUCCAGGGCUUCACGCAUGCUACAAUGGCCGGUACAACGGGAUGCGACACGGCGACGUGGAGCGGAUCCCUGAAAACCGGUCUCAGUUCGGAUUGGAGUCUGCAACCCGACUCCAUGAAGGCGGAGUCGCUAGUAAUCGCGGAUCAGCAACGCCGCGGUGAAUGCGUUCCCGGGCCUUGUACACACCGCCCGUCAAGUCAUGAAAGUGGGUAGCACCCGAAGCCGGUGGCCUAACCCUUUGUGGAUGGAGCCGUCUAAGGUGAGACUCGUGAUUGGGACUAAGUCGUAACAAGGUAGCCGUACCGGAAGGUGCGGCUGGAUCACCUCCUUU
rnacentral:rRNA from 1 species